rnacentral:lncRNA from 1 species
CGCUGUCAGGCGAGGGCGCUCAGGGGUGGGAGCCGAAGAGAGUAAUUUAGGGAUAGAGGUGAGAACGGAGUUAGACACAAAAGUAAGAUCACAUGAACUCCGACUUCGGAUGGAACACAUCAUCCAUUUAAACCCUCGAGCCGAGCUCAACUGGAAACUCCACCUAAGCUGGAAGAGACUUGAGCUUGCAAGUGAAAUAAGCCAGAGAAUUUUGAAGAUAUAAAAAGGCGCAUCUCAAUUCCGUGUGGCGGGCAAAAAAUAAAGGAGCAGAUUGUGACAGACCAUUCCCAUCGGCCAUGCGGGCGAACCCAACGUCCUUUUACAUUGAAGAACCCAACGGGGCCUUUUACAUUGCGGAUGAUGGACCGGCUCGUGACGUCCAUGAAUUUCACGCGCACCUGUGUGCACUGUCCCUGAGAGCCGGUCCUGCCCAGGACCUUGGUGACCCUGGCCAGCUUGAUAGGCUGCACACGGCUGGUGUUCAUGAUGGCGGCGCAGCGACGAUGUGGCGG